AAAACACAUAAAAACAUAUAACUCUGCAGCCAUUGCACAAAACAGGUACAUUCAACAUAUCCCCAGAUAGCUCAGAUCUGAGCGCACAUUAUUAAUGAAUGGCGCUCAGAGAACACACAUACAGUUCUUUCCCAUAGUCUUUCAUUAUACGAAUGGGCUCCAUGGCUUAGCUAUCUGGGGUAUCACCGCUCAAACAGGGCCAGCACCGAAUGACCCGGCUUUCGUGUCUCUGCAGGGAAAAAUCAAGCGUUUCAACAUGGGGCCAUAGUCUAAAGGCAGCAGGCGGGCAACCAGGUUCCUCCAAUGCACAGUGGCGAGAUUGGUCUCGUCACACGAAGUUUGAAUUAGCCGGACUAAACCAAGCAACACAAUGGAACUGAUUUCGGGGAUGUACAGAGCCUUGAGCCUCAGACUUUCGACACUGAUAUCUCCGGCUCUGUACAUCUGAUCGCCCCACUUUUUGCAUGGUUCCCAGAGGUGACCCGGGUCUAUUUAACUAUGGAAGUUUAACCCUGUAACCCCCCUUCCGUCCCAGGGUGCCGAGCCCCAAAGUGUAUACCCCUGAAUGUAAAAUGUAGUCAUGCGUGUCCCUGUAUCUAGUUAGUAUCUCCCAAAGCAGGAGAUGGUUAUCUAUUCCCCAGCCCUCUCCUGUAUGGGUUUUUUGUUGUGUUGGAUGAAGACCCCUUGCGGGAGGUGUGUGCCCAAAUAAACAUUGUCAAAGAUUGUAUCCUGGAACUGUGUCCUGUCCAGAUACUGUGGAAAUGGGUCUGACCUACUCUAACCAAAGGGGAUAACCAGCCAGAUUACCCAGGUCCUGCUACAUAUACCAUUGUCAACCUUUAGCUGCCAGUUAAGGCAUGCAAUCACAUCAAUCAGUCCAUAUUGCUAGACUACCAAACUUGUGAAGCAGCUAGCCUCAUGUGUUCCGGCACUGUGUGUACAGAGAACAGAUAUAACAUUAGCUGAGACAUAGCUUGUUCUGAUGCCAGAGCCGAUGCCAGGCCCAGCCGCUGCAAAGGUAUUUCUGGAUGUCUCCUGUUUGAGAUUUCCUCUAAAAUGCACACUACAUGUAAAAGCAUUUUUUUUCUAUCCACCACAAUGCCAUAUAGAAAUGGGCACCUGAAUUCUGUGACAUAGUGCCACCGUGUUCAGCCUCGGGCAACCUGAUAGACUCUUUCACUAGUGAGGAAUCCAGCAAUAGGGGGGGGCUGUAAAUUUCAGAUUAACCUUGUAUGCUUACUAUCACUAGCUGCUUAAAACCACGAGGACUGUUACAGGCAUCUGGGUACGAACUGGUUAAUCUGGGUAUAAAUCGUUUCAUUGAGAAUGAAUUGUAUCCAGGGUUCUGUAAUUUCUACUCUUUGUGAAUGUUUCCUGAUCUCCAUCUAAAUCACAAUUACAGACAAUCCCAAUCUGACAAUUUAUUACACACACACACACACACACACAUAUGUGUGUAUUGAAGACAUUGAGUAAUCACUCACUGCUGGGCUGGAUGGGAAAAUAAAGUGAACCUCUGUGUUAACACAUUUUUAAAAAACUGUUUGAAGUCAGAUGUUACAAUUAAGUAGAUGAGACUGUAAGUGCGGCUUGUCCUUUAGACAAAGUCACACGAAGUCUGGUUAUAGACAAAUCUGUUCUUCUCCAGAAAGACUGGUUCAUAUCCAAAGAAUUUUCGCAGGGCCUUACAGGGCACAAUAUAGAGAUGCUGGAAGCUGGUAAACGUAUAACGAGGUAAACAUUUACUAAGAAAGAUUAUAUCCUUAUCUAGAACUAACACAGGGUUCUUGGAGGGUCAACAGAAUACCACAAAAAUAAGUCCACAAAUAUUGGGUACAGGCGCACUGUGUGAGAGAUUGAGAUACGUUACUUUUAUGGAAUGAAAUCCCAGUUAAGUUAACUGUUUGCAAGCCUGUGGGAUUUUAGCAUGUGUCGCCAACCUCUUUGGCCCUUACACAGUUAAACCUUCUGUAAUCGUUUAAUAAUGCUGGAUGUUCCGUUUAUCGCUUGCACUAUUAUUUUUCUAAAGUCUCAAUAUAUUCCUCAAUGCUGAACCAAACGCCAUUGACGGAUUUCAGCCAUUACAAGUUUUCAGGUUGGUCAUUUUUCGGUCAGUGACCAUGACUAGUUCAUGCUGGGUUAUAACAGCUUAUUACAGUUGGUCAGUUGUUGUUUUACUCUCCCAUCUUUCCAUAGAUUCUCAUUGGCCUGAUUUCUGUAAGUUGCAAGUCCUGCAACAUUACAAUAAAAGUGUUUAGAACGGAGUUCUUGGUUUUAAAAUGCAGAAGUGGCUAGAAUGUGGUCCUCAGUUCCUGCCUUUAGACUGACGAAGGACCAUGACAGUAGUUGUAACACUGGUGUGGCUCUAACUGUUACUGGAAGAGCAGAGCCUGGGUCAGUUUGGGAUUCCAGGGACGGUUGUUCCCAUGUGCCCCCCAGCUUGUUAUUGCUAUUUCCAGGGCUUUGUGUUGACACAUAGGAUUUUUCCAGCGACUGACACAGCGAUCAGCAGACUUGGUUCGUUUUCUGUUCCCUAUAGACGACACAGUCCUGUAAACAGCCAGACUGGCCUCGUUAUUAAAUCCUGUCAGAGAGUCAGAAAAAUUAUUGUAAUACUCCCUGCGGUGACUCACUGUGAGGAGCCCCACGAAUAUUGAAAAUGCAUGGGUUCGAAACAGUGCACUGACUGGCAAUGCGUGCCGUUUUAUUUUGCUUUGAAUGUUGUACAUGUCAGAGGCAUUUUAAUACAGAGUGAGAUAUAUCACAUUAACCCCCUACUCAUAAUACCUUUAUCACCCACGUCCCAUCCACUAAUCCCAACACAACUCCGCUCCACAAUCCCCUCCCAUAUUGGCAGCCUCACAAUCGCACAUUACUUCCAGAUCCCAUUGUACAGCGCUACGGAAUCUGAUAGCGCUAUAUAAAUAAUACAAUAAUAAUAAAUAACCCAAACUUCCUAUACAGCGUGAAAAGCCUUGAUGCCAUUCAGGAGAUCACUCUCGAUCACUUAUCGAUCAUUUCUAAUGUUCCUGGUUAUUUAGCGGGGGGGGGG